GGCGGCGUGCCUAAUACAUGCAAGUAGAACGCUGAAGGAGGAGCUUGCUUCUCUGGAUGAGUUGCGAACGGGUGAGUAACGCGUAGGUAACCUGCCUGGUAGCGGGGAUAACUAUUGGAAACGAUAGCUAAUACCGCAUAAGAGUAGAUGUUGCAUGACAUUUGCUUAAAAGGUGCAAUUGCAUCACUACCAGAUGGACCUGCGUUGUAUUAGCUAGUUGGUGAGGUAACGGCUCACCAAGGCAACGAUACAUAGCCGACCUGAGAGGGUGAUCGGCCACACUGGGACUGAGACACGGCCCAGACUCCUACGGGAGGCAGCAGUAGGGAAUCUUCGGCAAUGGACGGAAGUCUGACCGAGCAACGCCGCGUGAGUGAAGAAGGUUUUCGGAUCGUAAAGCUCUGUUGUAAGAGAAGAACGAGUGUGAGAGUGGAAAGUUCACACUGUGACGGUAUCUUACCAGAAAGGGACGGCUAACUAC
rnacentral:rRNA from 1 species